GUAGGGAAUAUUGCGCAAUGGGGGAAACCCUGACGCAGCGACGCCGCGUGAGUGAUGAAGGCCUUCGGGUCGUAAAGCUCUGUUGCAGGGGAAUAAAAAAAUGAAGGUACCCUGUGAGGAAGGAUCGGCUAACUUCGUGCCAGCAGCCGCGGUAAGACGAGGGAUCCUAGCGUUGCUCGGAAUCAUUGGGCGUAAAGAGGGCGUAGGUGGCUUGGUAAGUCAGGUGUGAAAGCCCAGUGCUCAACCCUGGAAGUGCAUUUGAUACUGCUGAGCUUGAGUGUCGGAGAGGUUACCGGAAUACCUGGUGUAGUGGUGAAAUACGUAGAUAUCAGGUGGAACACCGGAGGCGAAGGCGGGUAACUGGACGAACACUGACACUGAGGCCCGAAAGCGUGGGGAUCAAACAGGAUUAGAAACCCGAGUAGUCC
rnacentral:rRNA from 1 species